rnacentral:snRNA from 1 species
CAGAUAGAUUUGUUGACUGAUUAAAACCUGGAAUGAUACAGAGAAGACAAGUAUGGCCCUCGUGCAAGGAUGACAUGAAAAUUCAUGAAGUUUAAAAGUUUUUU